CUACGGAGGAUCCGAGCGUUAUCCGGAUUUAUUGGGUUUAAAGGGUGCGCAGGCGGCCAUUUAAGUCAGCGGUUAAAUCGUGGGGCUCAACCCCAUUCUGCCGUUGAUACUGGGUGGCUUGAUUGCGGUCGAGGUUGGCGGAAUUCGUUGUGUAGCGGGGAAAUGCAUAGAUAUGACGAAGAACACCGAUUGCGUAGGAAGCUGACCAGACCGAAAAUGACGCUCAUGCACGAAAGUGCGGGGAUCGAACAGGAUUAGAUACCCUGGUAGUCCGCACUGUAAACGAUGAAUACUUGUUUUCGGCGAUAUAAUGUCGGAGGCAAAGCGAAAGCGAUAAGUAUGCCACCUGGGGAGUACGCCGGCAACGGUGAAACUCAAAGGAAUUGACGGGG
rnacentral:rRNA from 1 species